CCCGCACCUCGCGGCCGGCACCCCGCGGCCCGCGUCGGGCCGCGGCCCCCCGCCGCCGCCUCUUUGUCUGCACCCGUCGCGGCUCCGGGGAGGCGAACCCCAGACCCCUGGCGCGCCCGCCGUCCCGCCCUCAGAUCCUCACGAGGACCGGGAUGGGGAGGAAGGUGCGAGGGUAACCCGAGAGGCCUGGACCGAGGGGCUUCUCAUCAUCUCGCAAGUUUUUGGAGGAUGAGAGGCUGAUAGAAGAAUACCUGCCUUUAGUAGAGAAAAGGAAGCUGCACGGAACUUCAGUGGGGAUACUCAUAAGGGGGAGGAUCCUGGAAAAGCACAGGCAUCAAGAAGUGAUAAAUGUCCACUUCCCCUUCUAAGACUUAAGUGUUCAAGUUCAAAGCCAUCAUAAGAGCAACUGCUGUAUUUGAAUAAACAUCUCACCAGUCAAAAUGGACUAGAGGUCUUAUUCCUCUCUGCAUGAAGAGGUCUCAGAAUUGCAUAUGAUUGUACAGACUGCACCAAGUGAUCACGUGAUGUGAGAAUUCUCAGCUAAAGAACCGAAGAGACUUAAAAUACUUUGCUUGAAAUAAAUAUGGUAGCAGAUUUUUAAAAAUAGCCACAAUAUUUUACAGCUCAUCUCUUCAACAGGCGAAAUCUUUUUUCCCAUUCCUUGAAUCUGAGCUGGUCUUAGCAACUUGCAAUAGGAUUUGGUAGAACUGACAUUGUGU